rnacentral:rRNA from 1 species
AGUGAACGCUGGCGGUAGGCCUAACACAUGCAAGUCGAACGGCAGCACAGUAAGAGCUUGCUCUUACGGGUGGCGAGUGGCGGACGGGUGAGGAAUACAUCGGAAUCUACUUUUUCGUGGGGGAUAACGUAGGGAAACUUACGCUAAUACCGCAUACGACCUACGGGUUAAAGCAGUGGAUCUUCGGACCUUGCGCGAUUGAAUGAGCCGAUGUCGGAUUAGCUAGUUGGCGGGGUAAAGGCCCACCAAGGCGACGAUCCGUAGCUGGUCUGAGAGGAUGAUCAGCCACACUGGAACUGAGACACGGUCCAGACUCCUACGGGAGGCAGCAGUGGGGAAUAUUGGACAAUGGGCGCAAGCCUGAUCCAGCCAUACCGCGUGGGUGAAGAAGGCCUUCGGGUUGUAAAGCCCUUUUGUUGGGAAAGAAAAGCAGCAGGUUAAUACCCCGCUGUUCUGACGGUACCCAAAGAAUAAGCACCGGCUAACUUCGUG